rnacentral:rRNA from 1 species
GACGAACGCUGGCGGCGUGCCUAAUACAUGCAAGUAGAACGCUGAAGCGAGGAGCUUGCUCUUCUUGGAUGAGUUGCGAACGGGUGAGUAACGCGUAGGUAACCUGCCUUGUAGCGGGGGAUAACUAUUGGAAACGAUAGCUAAUACCGCAUAACAAUGGAUGACACAUGUCAUUUAUUUGAAAGGGGCAAUUGUUCCACUACAAGAUGGACCUGCGUUGUAUUAGCUAGUAGGUGAGGUAAUGGCUCACCUAGGCGACGAUACAUAGCCGACCUGAGAGGGUGAUCGGCCACACUGGGACUGAGACACGGCCCAGACUCCUACGGGAGGCAGCAGUAGGGAAUCUUCGGCAAUGGGGGCAACCCUGACCGAGCAACGCCGCGGGAGUGAAGAAGGGUUUCGGAUCGUAAAGCUCUGUUGUAAGUCAAGAACGGGUGUGAGAGUGGAAAGUUCACACUGUGACGGUAGCUUACCAGAAAGGGACGGCUAACUACGUG